rnacentral:tRNA from 1 species
GGAACGUUAGUUCAAUGGAGGAACAGCCGCCUCAUAAGCGGAAAGCCCGGGGUUCGAUUCCCCGACGUUCCA